GGGUUGUGAGGUUAAGUGACUAAGCGUACACGGUGGAUGCCCUGGCAGUCAGAGGCGAUGAAGGACGUGCUAAUCUGCGAUAAGCGUCGGUAAGGUGAUAUGAACCGUUAUAACCGGCGAUUUCCGAAUGGGGAAACCCAGUGUGAUUCGUCACACUAUCAUUAACUGAAUCCAUAGGUUAAUGAGGCGAACCGGGGGAACUGAAACAUCUAAGUACCCCGAGGAAAAGAAAUCAACCGAGAUUCCCCCAGUAGCGGCGAGCGAACGGGGAGCAGCCCAGAGCCUGAAUCAGUGUGUGUGUUAGUGGAAGCGUCUGGAAAGGCGCGCGAUACAGGGUGACAGCCCCGUACACAAAAAUGCACAUA
rnacentral:rRNA from 1 species